CCUAGAAAAGACAGGAUUCAGUGAGGAUUACAAACCCUCCCAGACAAGGGGACUUUUGGAUAAAUCAGAUUAAUUCUGGGUCAGGAAAGAAAGCAAAAAAUGUCCUACUGUAGCCUUCUUGAGAGCUGGGACCUCUACCUCCCUAAUUAUGGCAACGUCCAGCAAAGGGACCACAGGAUGAAUUCCUGCUAGUGCUGAAACAGACUUUUUUUCUGCCUUCAACAGGACCAUCCACCUGGGCCAGAUACUGUACAGGAGAUGCAAAGAGCAUUAAAGCCCCAACCUCAAGUGGCACAGUGGGCAAUAGUGUUGGGACAAUAUCUGAACACGACUACAAUAUCAGCGAUUGACGUAAAAGCAGCAUGAACAGGGUGACAGAAAACCCUGGUACAAAGUGGAACAAUCAGGAAAAACACCCCACAGAACAGGACCCUGAGCUGGAUCUGGAAGGACAGGAGGAAGCUGUCAAAGAAAAGCGGGGGGAGUGAUAGAGAACGCCACAGCCCAAACCCUGUAAGGAAGGUGAUCUGGCCAAUAAUGGAUGGGGUGCAGUGGGAGAUGAGACAAGAGGCAGGCAAGGACCAAUUUAAAGGAGGGUGGGUAGCCAAGCUGAGGAAGUUUGGGAUUUUAUCAGACAACAUAAUGGGGUGGAAGGAUUUUAAGCAAAGGAGUGACAGAAUCUGAUUUAUGCGUUACAAAGAAAGACCCAUUUGGCUUCAAUGUUGAAUCUGCACCAGGGCAGCGAAGCCACUGGAGAGGGGGAAAAUUGAUGGGAACCAUUACAGUAAUCCAGGGAGAGCCAAGGCAACAGCCUUCUCCUACAUACACCUGCACGCCCUCUCACAACACAGUAACAAGGCUAAAGGAAGUCUUCUUAAAGAAUUGCUAAGCCCAGGGCAACUGGGUGGCUCAGUGGGUUAAAGCCUCUGCCUUUGGCUCAGGUCAUGAUCCCAGGACCCGGGGAUGGAGCCCUGCAUCGGGAAUCUCUGCUCAGCAGGGAGCCUGCUCCCUCUGACCCCAGCCUGCCUCUCUGCCUACUUGUGAUCGCUGUCAAAUAAAAACUUAAUAAAUAAAUAAAUAAAUAAAUAAUAAUCUUAAAAAAAAAAAAAAAGAAUUGCUAAGCCCAGCCACUUGCACGCGCUCUUUCCCAGGACUGCAGGCCAGGGGCCCACCCUCCCCGAACUCAUUGGCAUAACUCUCUGCAUUCUAAGUUACAUUCUAAAUUACCGCAAAAACUUCAGGAAAAGAGUUAAGUAGGCAAACCAAAUUUUAAAAUGUGCCCACACAUUGCACCAACGGGCUUCCUCCAACACCGCAAGGACCCAAAGGUGGGAGGUGGGCUCUCUGUCAAGAAGCUGGAGGUGAGGGAGGGACAGGGGAGGGGCCGAGACCUAUGAGGAGAGCCAUCCAGCCUGACCCCUUUCCCAUGGGGAGGAAGGGACGAGAGAUUUCCCCCCUCGCCCUCAUACCCUCCAUCCUGGGCACCACACCAAGUGUUCCCUGCUCCUUCCCCACCUCCUCUCUCCGCACCACUACCAUCAAUGUGGAAACAGCCCACCUGCAAUAUAGAGGUACACUUUCAAAACCACACUAGCUCUUGGGGGUGGCUAAGCAGGCAGGGUACUGAUGAUGGAACCCCAGACCGAGCUCUUCAUGCUGGUGUCCCUGUAUCUACUCCACCUAUUCCAACAACGUGGGACAGAGACAAAGGGUUGAAAGAAACCACUGAGGCAAGUCUCAGCAGUGGGUGUCAUUACUAGUUUACAAUGAAUGAUCCUCUCCCUCCCGCCCUCCUCACAAGUUGUAAGAAGCAGUUUUUAGGUAGGUCCCAGGUGUUAGGUAAGUCUCUUUCGAACCAAGCCCACUCAUCUCAUUUCUUUUCUUUUCUUUUUUUUAAAGUUUUUAUUUAUUUGAGAGCAAGAGAGCAGGAUGGGGGGGGCAAGCAGAGGGAAGGGUAGAAGAAGGAGGAAAGCAGACUCCCCGCUGAGCAGGGAGCCUGACAUGGGGCUGGAUCCCAGGACCAAGGGAUCAUGACCCGAGCCAAAGGCAGUUAAAGGCUUAACCAACUGACUGAGCAACCCAAGCGCCUCCUACUCAUCCCAUUUCUGAUGACAGGAGAGAAAUGUCAUGAGGCUAACUUGUGUGGGGGUGUCUGACCCAUCCCAAGGCUAAGACAAAUGCAUCCCAAUUUCAUAAUCACACUCCAUCUGCAUCAUUCCUUUUAUAGCAUUCAGCAGGUCAAGAGUUAGAAAGGUCUCAUGUACCCAAUAUUUUGGUAACUCAAGAUCAUUACAGGAAGGACUUGAAAUUUAAAACUGGCAUCUAUUUCUUCCCCUGACUGAUUUUAAGUUAAUAAUAUAGCAGUUAAUAAUAUAGCAAAAUAAUUUUAAAAGAGCAUCCGCAUUUCCUCAAGUACUCGGUGUGUGCUGUGCCAAGCCAAGUGCUGAGAACCCCACAUGCAUGCCAUCUCAAUCUUCAAACAGUCUUACCAGAUUCUGUUAUCUACCAUGUUACAGAGGAGGAAACCAACACUCAGAAUAUUGCUCACACAUAGAGCUAAUAAGGGGCAGAUCCAAGACUCAAAUCCAUGAGUGUCUACCCACAGAGCUGGCUCACUUACAAAUGGCCACCUGACCCACCCAGUAACAAGUGCUCUGACCUUUGGUGAGUAAUACUUUGCUGCAGCCAGCCCCAGCAGCAGAUCGCAGAAUCGUCCCCAGGUUCCCAGGGUCACGGAGAUUGUCACAAAUCAACAAUAAGGGCAGCAAGUGGUGAAGCUGAGUCUCUGGGUAUGUCAUCUUAACAUGGUCAGGUUUGGCAAAAAUCCCUGAGGAAAUAAAACAGGUGGUUCACUUGUCUGCUGUGA